rnacentral:snoRNA from 1 species
AAGACUAUACUUUCAGGGAGCAUUUCUAUAGUUUGUAACUGGUGAAAUGUGCUCGAAAGCGUCAAAGUAUACGCCAUCAGC